rnacentral:rRNA from 1 species
GUGGGGAAUAUUGCACAAUGGGGGAAACCCUGAUGCAGCGACGCCGCGUGAGUGAAGAAGGUCUUCGGAUCGUAAAACUCUGUCCUUGGUGACGAAGGAAGUGACGGUAACCAAGGAGGAAGCCCCGGCUAACUACGUGCCAGCAGCCGCGGUAAUACGUAGGGGGCGAGCGUUGUCCGGAUUUACUGGGCGUAAAGGGUGAGUAGGCGGUCAUAUAAGUCAGGUGUAAAAAGCUAAGGCUUAACCAUAGUAAGCACUUGAAACUGUAUGACUUGAGUGCAGGAGAGGUAAGCGGAAUUCCUAGUGUAGCGGUGAAAUGCGUAGAUAUUAGGAGGAACACCGGUGGCGAAGGCGGCUUACUGGACUGUAACUGACGCUGAGUCACGAAAGCGUGGGUAGCAAACAGGAUUAGAAACCCUAGUAGUCC